rnacentral:rRNA from 1 species
AGUCACGACGCAUAUCAAUAAGCGGAGGAAAAGAAACCAACAGGGAUUGCCUUAGUAACGGCGAGUGAAGCGGCAACAGCUCAAAUUUGAAAUCUGGCCCUCGGGUCCGAAUUGUAAUUUGUAGAGGAUGAUUUUGGUGCGGUAUCUUCCGAGUUCCUUGGAACAGGACGCCUUAGAGGGUGAGAGCCCCGUACGGUUGAAUGCCUAGCCUCUGUAAAUCUCCUUCGACGAGUCGAGUAGUUUGGGAAUGCUGCUCUAAAUGGGAGGUAAAUUUCUUCUAAAGCUAAAUAUUGGCCAGAGACCGAUAGCGCACAAGUAGAGUGAUCGAAAGAUGAAAAGCACUUUGAAAAGAGGGUUAAAUAGCACGUGAAAUUGUUGAAAGGGAAGGAUUUGUGACCAGACUUUUUCUGGGCGGAUCAUCCGGGGUUCUCUCCGGUGCACUUUGCCCAGUAAAGGCCAGCAUCGAUUUUCGGCGGCGGAUAAAAGCAGUGGGAAUGUGGCUCCCUACGGGGAGUGUUAUAGCCCAUUGUAUAAUACGCUGCUGGGGAUCGAGGUACGCGCUUCUGCAAGGAUGCUGGCGUAAUGGU